CAACACAUUCAAUUACCUCAAAACCUCACUCCAAACCAAGCAUGACCACGAGUUCAGAGUUCGAAAGCCUCUGGCUCUUCGCCAUCGCCUCCAAAUGCAGAGCCUUCACCCAUGAUAACAUUGCCUGGUCCCUCCUCUUGCUGGGUUUAACUUGGCUUGCCAUCACCCUCCUCCACUGGUCUUCCCCCGGUGGCCCUGCCUGGGGCAAAUAUUUCUGGCGCAAGGCACUCUUCCGCUCUCCGUCCUCCUCUUCUCUUUCUCCAUCCCACACGAUCCCCGGCCCCAGGGGAUUGCCUCUUUUCGGAAGCAUGAGCAUCAUGCUCCACUUGGCUCAUCACCGGGUUGCCGCUGCUGCUGAAGCCUUCGGGGCUAAGCGCCUGAUGGCCUUCAGCCUGGGCGAUAGUCGGGUCAUCGUGACAUGUAACCCUGAAGUCGCCAGAGAAAUCCUCAACAGCUCCGUGUUCGCUGAUCGCCCUGUGAAAGAAUCUGCUUACAGGCUCAUGUUCAACAGGGCAAUUGGCUUCUCUCGCCACGACGUCUACUGGCGAACCCUCCGGAGAAUUGCCACUACUCACCUUUUUUGCCCCAACAAAAUCAAGGCUUUCGAAUCUCAGCGGCGCACUGUCGCUUCUCAGAUGUCCGCGGCUCUGCUCGCUUCCCACGAGCAACCCUUCACGGUUCGCCAAGUGCUGAAGCGAGCCUCACUGAACCACAUGAUGAGCUGUGUGUUCGGACAAUCCUACGACUUGAGCUGCACGAGCCCUGAAGUGGAAGAGCUGACGGGGCUGGUGGACGAAGGGUACGAGUUAUUAGGCACGCUGAAUUGGUCCGAUCAUCUCCCUGGAUGGCAGAGCUGGACCCUCAGAAGAUCAAAUUCAGGUGCUCUAGGCUGGUGCCCAAAGUCAACCGCUUUGUUAGCCGAAUCAUCGCAGAGCAUCGAGCUCAACCGGCCGCCGACCACCAGGACUUUGUGGACGUUCUGCUCUCGCUUCAGGGUUCUGAUAAACUGCCCGACUCCGAUAUCAUCGCCGUUCUGUGGGAGAUGAUAUUUCGAGGGACGGACACGGUGGCGGUGCUGAUGGAGUGGAUCCUAGCGAGGAUGGUGGUCCAUCCGGAAGUUCAAGGGAGGGUCCAGGAGGAGAUGGACCGGGUGGUGGGAAGGUCAAGGGAGGUCAACGAAUCGGACAUAGGGGACCUGCCUUAUCUCCAGGCCGUAGUGAAGGAAGUGCUGAGGCUCCACCCGCCGGGCCCACUGCUGUCCUGGGCAAGAUUGGCCAUCACUGACACGACCGUGGACGGCCAUCACGUGCCAGCAGGAACCACGGCUAUGGUCAACAUGUGGGCCAUCUGCAGGGACCCCAGUGUCUGGCCCGACCCACUCCGGUUCAGGCCCGACAGGUUCCUGGGCGAAGAAGGGGCGGAGUUCUCGGUGCUCGGCUCGGACCUCCGCCUGGCGCCGUUCGGGUCGGGGAGGAGGGCCUGCCCCGGGAAGAUGCUGGGGCUGACGACUGUCACGUAUUGGGUGGCAGCGAUGCUGGAGGAGUAUGAUUGGAGGGCGGCGGUGAGUGAGGACAAAGUUGACUUGUCGGAGUAUCUCAGGCUUUCUUGCGAGAUGGCCAACCCUCUCGCCGUCAGACUCCGGCCCAGGCGCGUGCCUUCGCAGACGUCAGCUGAGAUGGAAACCCAAUCAUCUUAAAAAAGCAUUAUUAACUAAAAGAAAACACAAGUAUCUGUCGAAUAAAGCUUUUCUUUUCAAAGGGAAAAGAUAAAGUCAACGGCCAGGACAAGAGUAGGGCUUAGAUUAUGGACCGUGGGUCUGGCUUUAAAGCCCCUCUCGUUUUCAGCUUUUCUUGGGGGUCUUUGUCUUGGAGUUGCAAGGGGUUUUCUUCUUUUCUAUUUGAUAGCUCGACCUUGUCGGAGAUGUAUAUUAUCGUGUUGUUUUCCAACGUUUUAGCCGGUGUACAUACUGCUCAAACUAAUACAAGCUUCUUCGCGUAUGAUCGCUUACCUA